ACCAGAGGCAACAGCCGCGCACGCGACAAGACCAUAAGCAAGCAAGGCGAGGUCCGUGAGGAGGACGGCGACGAUCCCACGCCAUGACCAACAACUAGACAAAGGAAGGGCACCAGCGGUAUCUAUCUAGGGGUGGAAGUUGCACAGCAAAGGUCAAACAGAUUGAUCGGAAGAUGCAUAGAGACCAGCUGAUUGGGUCAGCAUUCAUCGCGUUUGGCAUCACGUUACUUGCAGGAUUCUUCUAUGCUGCGGUUUUGUCCAAGAUGCUUCCGCCAUAUGAAAACCGGUUUCUGUCAGCGAUCCAAAACGAUAGGUAUUACUGCCUUCUCGUACCCCUCACCCUCCCAGUGAUAAUUGUGGCCGUCUAUUUGCAUUGGCUAAGCAUGAAGAUGUUCAAGCAUGCAUGACGCUUCAUGCAAAGAAGCCUGAAGUGUGUCUAAUGCCAGCCAAACUCAGCUUCGUGGUGACCAUCAACGUAUACCAACACCACAUCUAUCUGAAAGUCAUUGUUAGACUUCUACAAACCAUCAAGCCUUUUUUUGGGGGGCCAAGAAUUCAAACCAUACAUAAUUGUACUAUCUUAAUGACUAUUAAGAG